rnacentral:rRNA from 1 species
AGAGUUUGAUCCUGGCUCAGGAUGAACGCUAGCGACAGGCUUAACACAUGCAAGUCGAGGGGCAGCGGAGGCGAGUGCUUGCACUUGCCGGACGGCGACCGGCGCACGGGUGAGUAACACGUAUGCGACCUGCCCGUAGCAGGGGGAUAAGCGGAAGAAAUUCCGUCUAAUACCGCGUAUUAUCUUUCGGGGGCAUCCCUGAGGGAUUAAAGGAAGCGAUUCCGGCUACGGAUGGGCAUGCGGCGCAUUAGCUAGUCGGCGGGGUAACGGCCCACCGAGGCGACGAUGCGUAGGGGUUCUGAGAGGAAGGUCCCCCACACUGGUACUGAGACACGGACCAGACUCCUACGGGAGGCAGCAGUGAGGGAUAUUGGUCAAUGGGCGCGAGCCUGAACCAGCCAAGUCGCGUGAGGGAUGACGGCCCUACGGGUUGUAAACCUCUUUUGUCGGGGAGCAAAUUCCGCCACGCGUGGCGGAAUCGAGAGUACCCGAAGAAAAAGCAUCGGCUAACUCCGUGCCAGCAGCCGCGGUAAUACGGAGGAUGCGAGCGUUAUCCGGAUUUAUUGGGUUUAAAGGGUGCGUAGGCGGACUGUCAAGUCAGCGGUAAAAUACGGGGGCUCAACCUCCGCCCGCCGUUGAAACUGACGGUCUUGAGUGGGCGAGAAGUAUGCGGAAUGCGUGGUGUAGCGGUGAAAUGCAUAGAUAUCACGCAGAACUCCGAUUGCGAAGGCAGCAUACCGGCGCCCAACUGACGCUGAAGCACGAAAGCGUGGGUAUCGAACAGGAUUAGAUACCCUGGUAGUCCACGCAGUAAACGAUGAAUACUAGCUGUCCGGGGCGAAUGGGCCCUGGGGUGGCACAGCGAAAGCGUUAAGUAUUCCACCUGGGGAGUACGCCGGCAACGGUGAAACUCAAAGGAAUUGACGGGGACCCGCACAAGCGGUGGAGCAUGUGGUUUAAUUCGAAGCAACGCGAAGAACCUUACCUGAUCUUGACAUCCCGGUGACCGGGACUUAACCGUCCCUUCUCUUCGGAGCACUGGAGACAGGUGGUGCAUGGUUGUCGUCAGCUCGUGUCGUGAGAUGUUGGGUUAAGUCCCGCAACGAGCGCAACCCUUGUCGUUAGUUGCUAACAGUAAGAUGAGGACUCUAAUGAGACUGCCGUGGAUAACACGGAGGAAGGUGGGGAUGACGUCAAAUCAUCAUGCCCCUUAUGUCCUGGGCUACACACGUGCUACAAUGGUCGGUACAAAGAGAAGCGAGGCUGUGAAGCGGAGCAAAACUCAAAAACCGAUCCCAGUUCGGAUUGCAGGCUGCAACUCGCCUGCAUGAAGUCGGAGUUGCUAGUAAUCGCAGAUCAGAAUGCUGCGGUGAAUGCGUAACCGGGUCUUGCACACACCGCCCGUCAAG